UCAUACAGAACCAAGAAAACAGAGAGGAUACUCCAUUUCUUCAUAAGAGAUGAGAAACCACAAAACACAUAUGUGCUCACUUCUCAUUGCACUACUAGUCUUUGCAUCGACUUGGAAGCCCACCAUGCAGCUUCAAUUUUGUUGGCACCCUCCAAAGAAGUUCAGCAUAUGAUUAGCCUUUUGGAGGGUAGAAAUAUGCAACAAGCUAUGCAUUGCCGAGAACUACGAGUAUGGUGUUUGUGGCAUGAUGGAGUACCCACUGCCGCGAUGCAUCUGCCACAAGCGUCAUUGUCAUGACACUUAACUAUGAUGAGUGAUGUAUUUAGCGUGUUUAUGUGAGAAUAAAGGGAUGGUGGUGUUUUUCAUCAUUAUGAAAUAUAAGUAUUUAAUAAAGUGAGCCUGAGUUCUUUCCA